CCUACGGGUGGCAGCAGUGGGGAAUAUUGGACAAUGGGCGAAAGCCUGAUCCAGCCAUGCCGCGUGUGUGAAGAAGGCCUUCGGGUUGUAAAGCACUUUCAGUGGGGAAGAAAGCCUUGGGGCUAAUACCCUCGAGGAAGGACAUCACCCACAGAAGAAGCACCGGCUAACUCCGUGCCAGCAACCGCGGUAAUACGGAGGGUGCGAGCGUUAAUCGGAAUUACUGGGCGUAAAGCGCGCGUAGGCGGUCUGAUAAGCCGGUUGUGAAAGCCCCGGGCUCAACCUGGGAACGGCAUCCGGAACUGUCAGGCUAGAGUGCAGGAGAGGAAGGUAGAAUUCCCGGUGUAGCGGUGAAAUGCGUAGAGAUCGGGAGGAAUACCAGUGGCGAAGGCGGCCUUCUGGACUGACACUGACGCUGAGGUGCGAAAGCGUGGGUAGCAAACAGGAUUAGAUACCCUAGUAGUC
rnacentral:rRNA from 1 species